ACCUCACCUCUGAGUCACUUCCGGACUUCCCCAGGAAGAAAACCCUCUCUCCUCGGUGCCCCGUUAUGCACUCAGCCGAAUUCCAUCAAUGCACCUGGAGUUAACGAACUUCUCCCUGGACGCGUCUCUGCUUCCGCUGGACGGGUGACAGAAAGAGCAAGGGGAGUCAGAGUCAGGGCUUAGAGUUACCCCAGGAUCUGCUGAGCCAGAAACACCACCAAAAUCAUGGCCAAGGGACAAACGAAAGCCAUGAACCAGCAGAACAAAGAGAACAGGAGCGAAGAUGACAGCAACAACAUUUUGGAAGGCAGAAAGCAGAAGACAGAGUGGUGAACUGACUUAGCCCUCCACAGAAAGAAGCCUGCUUUUCUGGAAAGAGCACCAGACAGCUGGGAAAGUGGCAGCACUGGUCUAAGUAAAGGAGAGCAUGGGGACAGAAGCAUCACAUCCUGAAAAAUAAGAGUUAUUAUUCUGAGAUGGUGACCAGAAUAGAGGCCUGAGUCCAAGUCUUUUAACCUCUCUGCACUCAGUUUCCUCACCUAUAAAAUAUAAAUUAUGGACCCUAAUGUCCUGGAUUGAUUGCAAGGAGUAAAUAUGGCCAGGUGUGUGUAAAGGUUUUGUAAAUUUAAAACACCAUAGAAAUGUAAGGAAUUUAUUAAGUGCAUGAGGCAAAAUGCAGCAUAAGAAAACUAGCUACCAAUAAACAGCUGGCUCUUUGAUCUUGUUUGCAGCCCCUCAGAAAACUUGAACCUAAAAUCACUGCCAUGCAGAGAUGCCAGACCUAGUCCUUAUGGAAAAUAAAACAUUGCUUCCUCUCACAGGGCACUAAGCUACUCCUAUGAAUGUUCGUGGAGUUUGAAGCCAAGCUAGCGUUUCAUGGUGUGUGCUGGGUACAUGCCCAGAGUGUGCCGUCAGAUGUGUCCUGAGGUGCCUCCUAGGCCAUCUUGCCUAAAUAACACACAAAAAUGGCCAAGUCUGGGGUAUAGUUAACAACAUUGUAUGAAUUUCAAUUGUCUGAUUUUGAUAAUACACUAUGGUCAUGUAAGAUGUUACCACUGGGGGAAGCUGGGUGAAGGGUACCCAGGAAUUCACUGCACUAUUUUUGUGACAUCUUGUGAGUUUAAGAUUAAUUUUUUUAAAAAAGUUUAAAGAUAAAAGUAUCCAGACCCAACUAAUGCCCCAAAUGAAAGAGAACCCAAACUACAUCUGGAAUGUUAGAGGGGUGUGAAUCCUACAAGAACACUGGAUUGUACUGCAAGGAACUGCAGUAUCAACACCCUUACAAGCUGCUUGUUCUUGCAAAGAAGGAAUGGUCUUUCACCAGAGCCUUUUUCCCCCAACCAUUUGCUCAGUAUCUCCCCUCAAACUACUAAUUUAUGUCUGCCAUUAAGAAAA